AUUGAACGCUGGCGGCAGGCCUAACACAUGCAAGUCGAGCGGCAGCGGGAAAGUAGCUUGCUACUUUUGCCGGCGAGCGGCGGACGGGUGAGUAAUGCCUGGGAAAUUGCCCAGUCGAGGGGGAUAACAGUUGGAAACGACUGCUAAUACCGCAUACGCCCUACGGGGGAAAGCAGGGGACCUUCCGGCCUUUCGCGACUGGAUAUGCCCAGGUGGGAUUAGCUAGUUGGUGAGGUAAUGGCUCACCAAGGCGACGAUCCCUAGCUGGUCUGAGAGGAUGAACAGCCACACUGGAACUGAGACACGGUCCAGACUCCUACGGGAGGCAGCAGUGGGGAAUAUUGCACAAUGGGGGAAACCCUGAUGCAGCCAUGCCGCGUGUGUGAAGAAGGCCUUCGGGUUGUAAAGCACUUUCAGCGAGGAGGAAAGGUUGAUGCCUAAUACGUAUCAACUGUGACGUUACUCGCAGAAGAAGCACCGGCUAACUCCGUGCCAGCAGCCGCCGUAAUAC
rnacentral:rRNA from 1 species